UAGGGAAUCUUCCGCAAUGGACGCAAGUCUGACGGAGCAACGCCGCGUGUGUGAAGAAGGUCUUCGGAUCGUAAAGCACUGUUGUUAGAGAAGAACGCCCGAAUGAGUAACUGCAUUCGGGGUGACGGUAUCUAACCAGAAAGCCACGGCUAACUACGUGCCAGCAGCCGCGGUAAUACGUAGGUGGCAAGCGUUGUCCGGAUUUAUUGGGCGUAAAGGGAGCGCAGGCGGUGACUUAAGUCUGAUGUGAAAGCCCACGGCUCAACCGUGGAGGGUCAUUGGAAACUGGGUCACUUGAGUAUAGAAGAGGAAAGUGGAAUUCCAUGUGUAGCGGUGAAAUGCGUAGAUAUAUGGAGGAACACCAGUGGCGAAGGCGACUUUCUGGUCUAUAACUGACGCUGAGGCUCGAAAGCGUGGGGAGCAAACA
rnacentral:rRNA from 1 species